UAUAAGCCAGAUAUAACCAGCAAUGUCAAGUGUUUAAAAGCGGUAAUUUCCUGUAGCCAGCGGGAAACAGGAGUGGGCCAUUCACGGCCACGGAAUCAAUUAAAUGUUUAGCGUUUCGAUUCGCGUGCUGGGGAGUCGCCCCCUGGAAAAUUGAUACCGCCGCCAAUGCACUUUCCACCGCCCAACCGCCUUUGAUUAGCCAUUUGUGUAAUUGAAGGACGGAUAAAUGUCUUUAUUUAAUGCCAGAGCACCGCCUCUUUUGGCCACUGCUUAAAUAUUAAAGGCAGUGGAAGUUGUCAUCUUGUUUGCACAAUUUCCAAUUGCCUCGUUAUAAAGUAAUUUUCAUCUAUUGAUUUUCACUUUAUUUGCCAUUUCAAUAGGGCACAAUCGAAGCGGGCUUUCGACUGCGAAGCGUUGACGCAAUUAAAUAUUGAUUGGCAGGGAAAUUCUUGCAAUUGACGCAUAAAAGAGUGUUAAAGACAUCAGACGGUGAAGGAUGUGCACAGAAACCGAAGGCCGAUUGUGUGACUAUUAAUCUAAUCGAUAAAAGGUGUAAAUACCUAUUGCGAAAAGUAAAAGUGGUUUAUCAAGGAAGUUGGGGAAUAAAUGGUUGCUCUUAAUACUUUUUAAACUAUUAGCUAACAUUUAAUCGCGACGUCGAUUAAGUGACGUCUUUUGAUGAGCUCUCUCGUUUAUAGGAUGUCAUAUUAUGUACAUGUAAAUAAAUAGUAUUUUCAAGGCAGGUGCUAAAAAGUGAUUAAGAUAAGAGGAUGGAAAUAGGUGAGAAAUAACAUUCUACAGGUUAUUUCUUGGCUUUAACAACUCAAAUACACUCUGUUUAUUCGAUUUUAAUGUACCAUCCAAACGACUCGAGGCACAGACGAGUGUGCCAUAUACCAAAUUAGUUUCCUAUCGAUUUAUGGCAGCAGCUUAAAGCCAGAUUAACGCGACGACUAGAGUUAAAUGUUUGGCAAUCAUAAAGCGAAAUAUGAUUUUAAUUGGCAGCUUUAUAAUCCGCCAGUCGACGCACUCAGAGAUACAGCACCCAGUACACUCGCAGCCACAGUUCCAGACAUGCCACACACACUUCACACACUCCACAUACGACAUGUGUGACAUAUACGACAUAUAUGUGCGACAUACAGGUGCAAGUGUCAAGAAGUCGAUCGGCAGACGUGCGAGGAGCUUAUCGCCGGGCGAUAGCAACACGAGCUACAGCUACAUAUUUACGACAGACAUAAUGGGGCGACUCAAAUAAACGAUCGGCGAUCGCAACGAAAGCAUUUCCAGAUAACUCCGACUCGAUUCGACUUGACUCCCAAUCCGAUCCCAUCCAAGGCUGCACCAAGAAGAGCCCGCGGCCUCAAUUCGAUUCGAUUCGAUUGGACUCCAUUCGAUUCGAUUGGAUUGGAUUGGAUCCAUGAGGUGGUCAUCAGAGACUUCCAGAACGCAUUGACUCAGCCAAAUAUUGAAUUUGCACUGGUCAUUGGCCCUUUCACCACCUGCAAACAACCUGCCAGUGCUGGCAUUAUAAAUAGAUCGGAUAGCUUAUCUGAUAUCUGAUUAUUAAACUCUACACUUUGCUUCCGACGUCACUGAUAUUGUAUAGUACAUGGCCCAGUAUAUGGAACUCUAUUGCUUUUCGCAGAUCGAUCAACAGUUUCCAAUUAAGGAAUUUCUUUAGUAUCUUAUCUUGCAUUUAGACGUAGCUUGCAAUUUUCUUAAUUAACUACGGACUUACAAGCGUUUAAUUGGGCUUCUUCAUUUUAUUUAUACAGCUUCUAUACUCCCAUCCAUUUAGUUUUAGUUUAGUAUAGUUUUACUUGAUUUUAUUUCUUAUUAAGCUACGCAACUAAAAGGAGCAACUUGCUCUUUCCAGUUCCCACUGGCCUUUCUGCCUGGCGCAUAUGAGAGCACCUGAUGCUGUGGCCCUUAUCUUAUCCAAGAUAUAUACGAUGUUUUCGUAUUCCACUGACAUCCAUUCUCCAUUUAUCUUGUAUUUAUUUGAUACUCCAGACGCACAGUGCCUGCUAAUAAUGUUCGCACCAAGUGCAGAAUCUUCUACACAUUUCAUACAGUGCCUAUUUCUCAAAUUUCUCGUAACUAAACCUUUUAUUUUUUGGAUUCUGAUUUAAACUUUUUUACGAUUGUGCUGGUUAUAAAUAGUUCGUAGCUCGAGAUUACCGAUUACCUGCCAAAAUCGGUUUGCAAUGCCUCGUUUCCCUGUGUAUGUACAUACAUUUCGGUUCGGUUAUCUCGCCCAACUUUUUUACUAUCUGCAUAAAAUUACACAACUAAUGGUGGGUAAACACACAGAAAGGGGAAAAUCGUAUUUAUAGACCGCCGGUCGGUAUUUGAGUUAUCAUUAUGAUAGAAUUUGCAUAGAGUGGAGAGUGGAUUAUUAUUUUUUUUUUCAUAUUUUCGGGCAUUGAUAAGGUGGGAUUCGAUGGGUGGAAAAUUAACGGAGCCGAAUUCAAGUGGCGGAUUGAUUCAAGUGCCUGCAACGCGUCACCGGUGGCCUUGGAGGAGGGGCUGCGAUCUGGGCGCGGGAUUAGGGGCGUGGCCGUAGUUAGGCGGUUUCGUCCAGAUAAAAAAAAUGAAACAUGACAAUCAGUCAUGUUGCCACUAUCAAAUGACUUUUGAUUUCCGAUACGAUUCUGAAGCACUGCAAAUUAAUUCCAUUUCCGUGCAAAGGUUAGGUUUGAACUUGAUAAUGAUAAUUGUGUCGUAAAUGAACAAUAAAUAAAACCUUUUGUCAUCGGUUUUUAUCAUAUUCCAUUAAAAAUUCCAUCUUUCGUCAUACAAUUUCAAUCGUUAUCCUUUUAUCUUAUAACCAUUACUGGCAUUUGGGGGUUCAAAGCUCAACGAUAAGUGAAGUUACUCAUAUGGGUUGUGCUGGUUUUUGGCACUUCAACAUUUCGAGCAUAAUUAUUUGUUUGCUGUGUAAAUUUCCGCUAUCGAGAUGAUGUCGAACCGAAAACGUCAGCAGUUCCACCACUUAGUUGAUAUCCAAUCGCAGCUUAUCGCACCAGAGGAGCGACUUGUUCCCCCGGAUCGCAUCGCAUGGAAUGGAAUAGAAUCGAAUUGGAUGGGAUCGGAUCGGAUGGGAUCCAAGUCUCUAGAGUGAGCGUGUGGAAUCAGCGGAAUUUGUGCGGUCACAAGUGGCCGUGAAAUGGGCAUGUACAUAUGUAUGUACAUAUAUUGUACAUUUAGUAAGCCGGUCGGACCGAAAUACUCCGCAAUAAAUAAGUGUGCUUAAGUAAUUGCAUUGACCGAUGGCCCCAUCGAGCAAAUAAGUCAACAAAACACCAAACUACUCGACGAAAUGCUGCAAAUACAGUAGCACGUUUGAUGAAAGAUGAACCUUGAAAUUAUUUAUAUACACAUACAUGUACAUAUGCGGGGUGCGAUAGAUGCGAUACAUUUCGAGAGUUCCAUAGACCGGAACAGGAGUUCCAGCGGCAAAUGGGAGCUACCUUCAUUGGUACAACGGACAACGGACAGCGGACAGCUACUUUCGCAGCCUUACAUGACCUCAUCCACCCAUCAAAUCCAAAUGCGUUAUCCAACUGGCCAUCCAACUGGCAUUUCAUAUGGGCAAGUCAACGUUGACGAGGCGACAGAAGGAGCAACAGGAGAGCCCGCUAUCGACCAAAUAACACGUGUCCUAACGACUCAAAGCCCCUGAUAGUCCGAGGUGGGGUAAUACUACGUCGGGAGGGGUAGUACAUGUAUCUAAAUACACACAUAUGCGUAUCUCUUGGUUUUAUUAAAUGUGUAACGCUCUAUUUGUAUGCAGCAAAUAUCAAUUUGCAAUUGGGUGACAAGCUCAGUCGAAUCAAAUGUAAACACAACAACAUAGAUAGUACAAAUUCUCCUAAUGUAUACUCUACAUUUUCAAUUAAUUACUCUUGUGCACAUAAAAUGAGAUUAGAAAAGGCGUUUCAAGGAAUCUAGAGGAUACCCUUACAUUUCGAUAA